UCUGCCUCGAAAUCUUGGGCAUUGCUUAGGUGUUUCUGUUUGCCAUUGCAGUAUCACUGAUUCAUUGAUAGAGUUAACAGGGAAAGUUGUCAAGGACAAUUUUCUAGUUAGAACUGUUGAAGUUGAUGUUGGAAUGUGGUCAAGAAAGGUACCCUAGGAGCACCUUGUGAGGGGCCAGCCACAGAGGGAAGCCAAGAAAACACCUGAGGAUGAGCCUGCCUGUGGAAACUGAAGAAACUGAGGAGGUCAGGGAAAUAGAACACAGUGAGCAAGGGACAGAGUGACAGGAGUGACCACAGAAAUAGAACUCAGGAACACUACUUGUGAGGUUGAGAAGGAAAGAAUCACACAUCUGAGACCAGAGUUGAAAUGUCCCUGUCCCAGACAGCCCAGAGGAAAUUCCAGGAAGGGAGGCUUGGAAGUAUCAGCCACUAGAUGCACACUACUGUCCUUUGCUGACACAGUCCUUAGGAAAGGAGUAUGUAAAACAGCCACGUGACCUGCCCACGUGUGUCCAACACCACACGCUAACCUGAAUAUUGAAGUUUGAAAAAUCUACCUUGGAAAAGGCAGAUCUCUCUGCUUCAAGGUUGAAUACUGCAUUGUGCAUUAAGUAAAGGAAAAAGUCACCAGCUCACAAUGGACAUGCACUUGAUCAACUGACAACAGUAACUUCUUUCUAAAUUCGUUGAACACGAACAUCAUCACCCAGGUUAAUGAGAGUAUGCAAGAAUCAAUGUCCUA